AGUGGCAGACGGGUGAGUAACAUGUAGGUAUCUGCCCUUUGGCCUGGAAUAACACGAGGAAACUUGUGCUAAUACCGGAUAAGUCUUUACGGAGAAAGCUUUAUGCACCAUUGGAUGAGCCUGCACUUGAUUAGUUUGUUGGUGGGGUAAUGGCCUACCAAGACUGUGAUCAAUAGCUGAUUUGAGAGGAUGAUCAGCCACAUUGGGACUGAGACACGGCCCAAACCCCUACGGGAGGCAGCAGUGGGGAAUCUUGCACAAUGGAGGAAACUCUGAUGCAGCGAUGCCGCGUGAGUGAAGAAGGCCCUUGGGUUGUAAAGCUCUUUCGUCGGGGAAGAAAAUGACUGUACCCGAAUAAGAAGGUCCGGCUAACUUCGUGCCAGCAGCCGCGGUAAUACGAAGGGACCUAGCGUAGUUCGGAAUUACUGGGCUUAAAGAGUUCGUAGGUGGUUGAAAAAGUUGGUGGUGAAAUCCCAGAGCUUAACUCUGGAACUGCCAUCAAAACUUUUCAGCUAGAGUAUGAUAGAGGAAAGCAGAAUUUCUAGUGUAGAGGUGAAAUUCGUAGAUAUUAGAAAGAAUACCAAUUGCGAAGGCAGCUUUCUGGAUCAUUACUGACACUGAGGAACGAAAGCAUGGGUAGCGAAGAGGAUUAGAUACCCUCGUAGUCCAUGCCGUAAACGAUGUGUGUUAGACGUUGGAAAUUUAUUUUCAGUGUCGCAGCGAAAGCGAUAAACACACCGCCUGGGGAGUAC
rnacentral:rRNA from 1 species